rnacentral:rRNA from 1 species
GAUGAACGCUAGCGGCAGGCUUAACACAUGCAAGUCGAGGGGCAGCGUGGAGUAGCAAUACUCUGACGGCGACCGGCGAAAGGGUGAGUAACGCGUGAGCAACAUGCCCGGUAGUGGAGGAUAGUCGAUGGAAACGUCGCGUAAUACUCCGUAACAACAGGGACCGCAUGAUCCUUGUUUGAAAGAAUUUCGGAUGCGGAUGGGCUCGCGGGACAUUAGCUAGUUGGAGUGGUAACGGCACACCAAGGCGACGAUGUCUAGGGGUUCUGAGAGGAAGGUCCCCCACAUUGGAACUGAGACACGGUCCAAACUCC